AGGGCACCACCAGGAGUGGAGCCUGCGGCUUAAUUUGACUCAACACGGGAAAACUCACCCGGCCCGGACACUGUAGGGAUUGACAGACUGAGAGCUCUUUCUUAAUUCGGUGGGUGGUGAUGCAUGGCCGUUCUUAGUUGGUGGAGCGAUUUGUCUGGUUAAUUCCGAUAACGAACGAGACUCUGGCCUAUUAAAUAGACGGUGUAUCUUGAAGUAUACCGCGCUUCUUAGAGGGACAAGCGGCGUCUAGCCGCAUGAAGUAGAGCAAUAACAGGUCUGUGAUGCCCUUAGAUGUCCGGGGCUGCACGCGCGCUACACUGAAAGAAUCCGUGGGCGUUAAACCUAGCUCGGAAGAACCGGGUAACCCAAGUAAAUUCUUUCGUGCUUGGGAUAGGGAAUUGCAAUUAUUUCCCCUUAAACGAGGAAUUCCCAGUAAAAUUCGGGCCAUAAGCUCGAGUUGAUUACGUCCCUGCCCCUUCUGUACAUACCGCCCGUCGCUACUACCGAUUGGAUGACUCA
rnacentral:rRNA from 1 species